rnacentral:rRNA from 1 species
GACGAACGCUGGCGGCGUGCUUAACACAUGCAAGUCGAACGGAAAGGCCCUGCUUUUGUGGGGUGCUCGAGUGGCGAACGGGUGAGUAACACGUGAGUAACCUGCCCUUGACUUUGGGAUAACUUCAGGAAACUGGGGCUAAUACCGGAUAGGAGCUCCUGCUGCAUGGUGGGGGUUGGAAAGUUUCGGCGGUUGGGGAUGGACUCGCGGCUUAUCAGCUUGUUGGUGGGGUAGUGGCUUACCAAGGCUUUGACGGGUAGCCGGCCUGAGAGGGUGACCGGCCACAUUGGGACUGAGAUACGGCCCAGACUCCUACGGGAGGCGGCAGUGGGGAAUAUUGCACAAUGGGCGGAAGCCUGAUGCAGCAACGCCGCGUGCGGGAUGACGGCCUUCGGGUUGUAAACCGCCUUCGCCUGUGACGAAGCGUGAGUGACGGUAAUGGGUAAAGAAGCACCGGCUAACUACGUG